UACAGAGGGGCAAGCGUUGUUCGGAAUUACUGGGCGUAAAGGGCGCGUAGGCGGCCUUCUAAGUCGAACGUGAAAUCCCCGGGCUCAACCCGGGAACUGCGUCCGAUACUGGAAGGCUUGAAUCCGGGAGAGGGAUGCGGAAUUCCAGGUGUAGCGGUGAAAUGCGUAGAUAUCUGGAGGAACACCGGUGGCGAAGGCGGCAUCCUGGACCGGCAUGACGCUGAGCGCGAAGCAGGGAGCAAGCGGG
rnacentral:rRNA from 1 species